ACCCUGUAUAAACCAGUCUUUAAAACAACAAUGUAACAAUCAAAGCACCAGCUAUUGAUAAACAAGCAACAUUGAACUCUAACGACUAAUAAAAUAAUACAUAAACAGUAAACAAUCGCAUCACACAUGAUCUUGGAUCAUCCUCACGUGUAGCCAGAUGCUAAACGUACGUAAACGCUUGCUUUUUGUAAACAACAAUUAAUUCAGUAUAAUAUUGUGUAAAUAGCAACUAUUUAUUUAUUGUGCAUACCUAUAUUGACUAUUUAUGGAUAAAAUUCUCUGUUUAUCUCUUUGGAUUGUUUAAAAAAAAUGUUAACUACUUUGGUCUUUAUUUUGGUCCUAGGGGCCGCAAUUGAUUUCAGUAUCUAAUAAAAACAGAAGAAGGCAUUGAUUUUUAAGAAUUACAUAACAUCGAUAAUCAUGUUUUAUACUGAAACCAAUAUCACUUUAAGGAUAAAAUAAUACUAAAGUUCUUUUAAAACAAAAAAGCUACAGGGUAAUUAACAAUUUUAUGUUUAAAAAUCUUUAUUUAAUUUAUUUUUUAUCUAUUGUUAGCCUUAAUCCAUUUUUAUAGUGGUUAUUACAGUAACAACACUGCAGUAUACAUUCAAUUUGCUAUCACAGUUCACAAAAUACACCCUGGUAACAAACAAACAGCAAAAUUUUUACCCUGUAGCUACAGAACCCUAAAAUACUGUCCAACAUCUGUUAUUAAUGAGCAUUAACCUAGAAUACUUGACACUAUAAUUGGCUUAAGAUUUCUCAAUUAAUCAAGUAGCUCACUUAAUCAUUGCACAAUAAGAACUAGGUACAGAAUAAGUACUGCGGAUCAAAGGACCAUCAGCCUUGACCAUGAUUAAUGGGAAUCAGUCUACAAUAGCGGUGCAACUGCAUGCAAGAUGCACAAAAGGACCACGAUAUCUAUUAUGCAGUUGGAAACGUACGUUUACGAAACGAGUUAAAUAUACCAAGAUUUGAUACAUAGUGAGAUUAGUUGAACUUGAGAUUAAGAUAUAAAAUUGAUUUAAAAAUUCUUAUUUACCUAAUAACUAAUAAAAAAUAUUAAUUUACCAUCUCAUUAUCAUUAUAAUAUCCUUAGCAAUAAACGAAAAAAAAUCUCACAGAGAAACAAUCUUGCAAAAAUAAUUCGCACAGACCAAUCGUGUGUAAAAGUAAACCUUACACUUAAUAUUAAAAAUAAAAACACCUUUCAAAUUCACCAAUAAAAUUAUCAAUAAAAAAACAACAUGCUGUACAUGAACGCGGCUGGUCAGAAAUUAAUUGCAUCAAAGUAUGCGCGUACGCAACAAGAUCUAGCGAAUGCAGCGGCGGGCUCAGUAUUUGUGCGACACUCGAGCUGUUAAGACGUGUCAUUUAUUUCAUUUUUAUUACCGCGAGAUUUUAUUACGUCGUAAGCGAAGAUUGGCACAGAUUAAUGAGAGAUAAAAAAGAAUUGUCCAGUAACUGAGCACGAAAGGACCACGUUUUCGCAAUGAAUUCGGUCGUUAAUUGAUUACAAAACUACAUGACAAGUGUACGGUAAGGUACUAAGUAGAGACAUUUAAUUUUAUUGGUACUACACGAGUAGAUAUUUAUCUAUACUAAACGUGUUUACUUUAUAAUAAACGGAUCAGAGUUUC